rnacentral:rRNA from 1 species
AUUGAACGCUGGGGGCAUGCCUUGCACAUGCAAGUCGAACGGCAGCACGGGAGCAAUCCUGGUGGCGAGUGGCGAACGGGUGAGUAAUAUAUCGGAACGUGCCCAGUCGUGGGGGAUAACGCAGCGAAAGCUGUGCUAAUACCGCAUACGAUCUAUGGAUGAAAGCGGGGGAUCGCAAGACCUCGCGCGAUUGGAGCGGCCGAUAUCAGAUUAGGUAGUUGGUGGGGUAAAGGCUCACCAAGCCGACGAUCUGUAGCUGGUCUGAGAGGACGACCAGCCACACUGGAACUGAGACACGGUCCAGACUCCUACGGGAGGCAGCAGUGGGGAAUUUUGGACAAUGGGCGCAAGCCUGAUCCAGCAAUGCCGCGUGCAGGAUGAAGGCCUUCGGGUUGUAAACUGCUUUUGUACGGAGCGAAAAGGCUCUCUCUAAUACAGGGGGCUCAUGACGGUACCGUAAGAAUAAGCACCGGCUAACUACGUGCCAGCCGCCGCAGUAACAC